AAGCCUACGGGGCGCAGCAGUGAGGAAUAUUGGUCAAUGGGAGAGAUCCUGAACCAGCCAAGCCGCGUGAGGGAAGACGGCCCUAUGGGUUGUAAACCUCUUUUGUCGGAGAACAAAACCCGGGACGUGUCCCGGACUGCGUGUAUCCGAAGAAAAAGCAUCGGCUAACUCCGUGCCAGCAGCCGCGGUAAUACGGAGGAUGCGCGCGUUAUCCGGAUUUAUUGGGUUUAAAGGUGGCUUGGGCGUUCCUUAA
rnacentral:rRNA from 1 species